AAACUUGGGAAAGAAAAACAGAGAGAGAAAAGUUAGUGAGUUCCUUCUAAAAUAUUUUAGAAGCUGGAAAUUUGGGUUAGAAGUUAAAGCAGUUUCUGUUGUUGUUUUUAUCAUAUAAGGAUCAACAGGGUCUCGGGAUAUUAAGGGAAGGGGAAAAUAUGAUUAUUUUCCUUAUAUGCUCAUCUACUGUUUUUGAAGAUCAAUCUGUUUAUUGAAGUAUUUUGAAGAUACAUGUAGACAUACUUGUGAUAGUACAGGAUUAUUCUUUUGGAAGUUUUCACUUGUAGAUUAUGUAUAUAUAGAACCUUGUACUAGUGGGACCUAUGUGGUGUAAUUUGUAUUUAUUUUAUAUGAAAUAUAUGUUAUAUGCAAAUGUGAAAUAUGGGAUGUCACAGGGACAACUGGCUCAAUCCCAUUGAAUAAUUUGAAAA